AAUUCGCACUCCUAUUGCUUGUAGUCACUUGCAAUCGGCCUCCGGCGGCACCCGUGACCCGGUUCGACCUGAACUCUCGCGCAACCACCCGAACAGCCUCCAAUCCACCAUCCAAAAAUUAAAGGUCUGCGAUUAGUUGUCACGAGCUCACGAUUCCGUUUCAUGAUUUUAGGACGUCGCCUCGGCCCUCCAGGCAGAAACGAAACUUUAACGGUCUGUUUCUUCAAUAACUCUUCAAUAACUUUGCGUAGGCUCGACGAAUCGCCGAACCGACUUCACCAACGCGUUCGUAUACCUAGCAAU
rnacentral:lncRNA from 1 species